rnacentral:rRNA from 1 species
AGCGAACGCUGGCGGCAGGCUUAACACAUGCAAGUCGAGCGGGCACUUUCGGGUGUCCGCGGCGGACGGGUGAGUAACGCGUGGGAACGUGCCCUCUGGUUCGGAAUAACUCAGGGAAACUUGAGCUAAUACCGGAUACGCCCUUUUGGGGAAAGGCUUGCUGCCGGAGGAUCGGCCCGCGUCUGAUUAGCUAGUUGGUGAGGUAACGGCUCACCAAGGCGACGAUCAGUAGCUGGUCUGAGAGGAUGAUCAGCCACACUGGGACUGAGACACGGCCCAGACUCCUACGGGAGGCAGCAGUGGGGAAUAUUGGACAAUGGGCGCAAGCCUGAUCCAGCCAUGCCGCGUGAGUGAUGAAGGCCUUAGGGUUGUAAAGCCCUUUUAUCCGGGACGAUAAUGACGGUACCGGAGGAAUAAGCCCCGGCUAACUUCGUG